GGUUAUGGCUCAGCGGUAGAGCACUUGCCUCGCACGUGCAAGGCCCUGGGUUCGAACCUCAGCACCA
rnacentral:tRNA from 1 species